rfam:Triticum aestivum genome assembly, contig: Triticum_aestivum_CS42_TGACv1_scaffold_434434_5DL
GAAAUACCCCCUCCGUCCGAAAAUACUUGUCCUAAAAAUGGGUAAAAUGUAUGUAUCUAUAAUAAGUCUAGAUAUAACCAUUUCUAAGACAAGUAUUUCCGGACGAAGGGAGUAAGUG